rnacentral:tRNA from 1 species
GCCAAUGUGGCUCAGAGGUAGAGCAGCGCACUCGUAAUGCGCAGGUCUGGGGUUCGAAUCCCCACAUUGGCUCCA